CGUUGACGUUCUGCAGACCUGACGUUCCUCCACGAGAGCUGCAAGACAUUCCACGGAGACCUGGUGAACUUCGAGAAGAUGCACAAAGUGGCCGACAUGGUGAGGAUCAUCAGACGCUACAGGAGCAGCCAGCUCGCCCUGGACACAGAGGCCACGCCCCCUCACCUGCAGACCAAGGCCUACGUCCGCCAGCUGCAGGUGAUCGACAACCAGAACCUGCUGUUUGACAUGUCCUGUAGGCUGGAGCCCAAAGACUCAUAGAGGAGGAGAGGAGAAGAGGAGGAGGAGGAGAGGAGGAGACCUCUGACCCUCCAGCUGGCCUCUAAGGGUUUUUAUCUUCUAAAUGUUUUUCUAAAAACAGCUGUUGGUUGUUUUCAUCGUUGGGGUCCACACAGAGAGGUCAACAACAACAACAACAACAAGCAGCUGACCUACUUCCUGUCUGAAUUUACAGAAACAAAACGUCUGCGUCUGAACUUCAGGACUGAAUUUAUAUUUUUCCAUCAGAAGGAACUCUGUUUACAUCGGCGGUUGACCUCUGACCUCUGAGCUGCCAUCUUCCACACAGAGCCGUCCGGUUGAUCGCGGUGCGUUCAGAGGCGGUCGGGACGUUUCCUUGCUGGAUGAGAGUGUAGAUGCUGGUUUUCUACCCAACGCUCUGUUCUGCUGUUUUGGUUUCAGGACUUGAACGAUGGACUUGGUCCCUAAAGGUCUCAAUGUUAGAGAACCCAACAGAACCCAUCAGAACCGUUCUGCUGUUCUGUGGCUUUCGACCAGUUUAACAUUCAUCGUUUCUCUGAUCAUGUGACAUUGUAAAGAUCCAAUCAGUGUUGAGACCAACAGGAGGAGAGCUAGUGACGUUAGCAUCACUGCUAACGGAGAACCAGGUUUACUUCAGUUCCAUGGUGAUGCGUUCAGGCUCUGCUCAGUGAACAUGAGUACUGGCUGAAGGUAAAGGAACAGUUUAACAUUCAGUAUUUCUCGUGUGCCUAAAGUCUGAAACUCUUUUUGUAAAAGGCCAACGGGCUGAAACCUGACACACAGCGGUGUGUGGCCCUUUAAGAGCGCGGUGUGUGGCCCUUUAAGAGCGUGGUGCCGGUAGUCACAUGGUGGGCAAUCAGCCGUUUACGGGACGACGUUACACCUGAGAGAUGAACACAAUAUGCAGGAAGGAGUCGACGGGGAUCUAACCCGCGGUCCCGUCUGAUCCACCGGGGACCGACCCGGCCGGCCCCCAUUGGUCGGUGCCGUCGGAGUCCGGGACGAGAACAGGAAGUGAAGCUCGGCGUAAACCUCAAGAUCUACACGAGAAGCUCCGGCACCACCAGGCGGUUCCUUUGGGUCAGUCCAGUUCCUCAGGCGGUUCCUUUGGGUCAGUCCAGUUCCUCAGGCGGUUCCUUUGGGUCAGUCCAGUUCCUCAGGCGGUUCCUUUGGGUCAGUCCAGUUCCUCAGGCGGUUCCUUGUUGUUCAGCUGAUCACACGUCAGUUCAUAUUUACUAAAUAACAGAACCCACCAGGUCCUUCAGAAGGUUCUCCUCACCGCACUGAAGAGCUUCUCUCCACAUGUGUUCCGUGUUCACGUGUUCCACACGUCAGAUAUUUUAGGGAAAGAACAUUUUUAAAUAAUUGUAAAUGCAGAAAAACAGAAGCAAUCAUAUAAUUGUACAAUAUUUAGGGAUUGUUACAUUUUUAUUUAAAACAAUUGUAUUAUGAUUUAUUUUUUAAAGUAUUUUUUAUGAGUAAGAUGACCUCAAUGUUUAAAUAUUUUAGCUUUUAGAUGGUUAUUGUAUUUGUACUUCCUUAUCUCUUUACUUUUAUUCUGAUGGUUGACAGGAAGUGAAUAAAGUCUGUCGGGUGAGACUCUUCAGGCGGGGCAGCUGUGCAUGUUUUAAAUCUGGACUCUGUGACAACUUCCUGUCCGUAAAAGCUCAGUGAGGCCACUUCCUGUCCACGUCAAGACCAGGUAAAAGAGUCUGGCUCAAAGACCCAACUUACCUGUGAGCUUUAUUUUGUUAAGGGUUUCUUUUACAACUUGGCUUUUAUUUUGGUAGUUUAGGGACUUCGUGGUGAAAGUGAUUGUUUACGAAAUUUAAAAGCUUUUUGUUUUCUUUCCCGGGUUUCAAGUUUCACAUUUAAGUUUGAAGAACGAGAGUUUCACGUUUCUAGAACAAGAGUUCCAAGUUUCCACAAUGAGAGUUCCUAGUUUCCAGAAUGAGAGUUCCUAGUUUCCAGAACGAGAGCUCCAAGUUUCCACAAUGAGAGUUCCUAGUUUCCAGAACGAGAGUUCCAAGUUUCCACAAUGAGAGUUCCUAGUUUCCAGAAUGAGAGUUCCUAGUUUCCAGAACGAGAGUUCCAAGUUUCCACAAUAAGAGUUCCUGGUUUCCAGAACGAGAGUUCCAAGUUUCCACAAUGAGUUCCUAGUUUCCAGAACGAGAGUUCCUAUUUUCCACAAUGAGAGUUCCUGGUUUCCAGAACGAGAGUUCCAAGUUUCCACAAUGAGUUCCUAGUUUCCAGAACGAGAGUUCCAAGUUUCCACAAUGAGAGUUCCUAGUUUCCACAAUGAGAGUUCCUGGUUUCCAGAACGAGAGUUCCAAGUUUCCACAAUGAGAGUUCCUGGUUUCCAGAACGAGAGUUCCAAGUUUCCACAAUGAGAGUUCCUAGUUUCCAGAAUGAGAGUUCCUAGUUUCCAGAACGAGAGUUCCAAGUUUCCACAAUGAGAGUUCCAAGUUUCCAGAACGAGAGCUCCAAGUUUCCACAAUGAGAGUUCCAAGUUUCCAGAACGAGAGCUCCAAGUUUCCACAAUGAGUUCCUAGUUUCCAGAACGAGAGUUCCAAGUUUCCACAAUGAGAGUUCCUAGUUUCCACAAUGAGAGUUCCUGGUUUCCAGAACGAGAGUUCCAAGUUUCCACAAUGAGAGUUCCUAGUUUCCAGAAUGAGAGUUCCUAGUUUCCAGAACGAGAGUUCCAAGUUUCCACAAUGAGAGUUCCAAGUUUCCAGAACGAGAGCUCCAAGUUUCCACAAUGAGAGUUCCAAGUUUCCAGAACGAGAGCUCCAAGUUUCCACAAUGAGAGUUCCUAGUUUCCAGAACGAGAGUUCCAAGUUUCCAAAACCAGAGUUUCUAGUUUCCAGAAGAAAAGUUCCUAGUUUCCAGAACGAGAGUUUCCGUUUCUAGUGUCCAGAACGAGAGUUCCACGUUGAGUACCUCGUGACUAGUCCAGACUUCUUUCUAAAUCUCAGGAUUCACGUUCUUGUGGAGGCGUUCGGGUCCGAAGGGAAACCCAGUGAAGACGACCUCUCGUCUCAGGACCACUUCCUGGGUGGGGGACCCCCUGAAGUCCUGAAUCUGGACCCUGAAACCAGGAAAUGGACUAAACCUUCUUCUGCCUGUCGAUCAGUGGGAUCUAUAAUUGGGGGGCGGCGGCCUCUUGGGUCGAGGUCGCCGUGGAGACGUUGUGUACAUGAACCGUGUAAAUACACAAAUACUAGCGGAGACUCUAUUUUGCGUAUGAGCGGAGAGAAGGAGAACUCUCGAGCGAGGUUUCUAUCUGUGAUUAUGACCUUAUGAAUUGUACAUACAUCUUCGGUUUGAUUGUUCUUUUGUUUUCUAUCUGACGCUCGGGUUGUUUAUUUGUUUGUUUUUGUACAGAAGUGGUUGUUUACAUCUAUACGAGUUCUGUGACCUUCAGCCAUGUGAUUGGAGCAGAGGUCUCGGAGGGGGCGGGGCUUGGAGGGCUGGGGUUCAGACUGCUGUGAUGUACAAAUACUGUUAAAAUAACGUCCUUGAAUAUUCAGAGGAAAAAUGUUUGAUUAAUUAAUAAAGUAAAAAUAUAAUGUCGCAAGAAACAAGUUGUAAUAUCUAUAUAUAUAUUUAUAUAUAUAUUAAGUAUAACUCAUAAUCGGGGAAGAAGUCAUAAUUUUCUUUUAAAUAAAAGUAAUACGAUUUAAAAAAUAUAGAAAGUAGUAAUGAAACAAAUGAGUCAUCGUAAUAAAAUUAUAUUAAUUUGACAAGAAAAAUAUUUUGUAGAAAAUAUAAUAUUAAGAUUGACAUUUUACGACUGAAAUGUAAUUUGGCAAAAGUCCUAUUUUGGAAUACAUUUUAUUAAAGUGGUAUUAAAAUAUUAAGAUGUAAUUAAGAGUCAUAAGUCACAAGUCUUUAAUAUAAAGUGUUCUCAUCCUAUUGUUCCAGUAAAUAUAUAUAUACAUAUGUAUAUAAACAUAUAUGUAUAAAUAUACAUAUGUAUAUAAAUAUGUGUGUGUGUGUAUAUAUAUAUAUAUAAACAUACAUAUAUAUAUAUUUAUCUCAUUUAUUGCCCAAGACUAUAUGACCAGGUUAUUAUUCUUCUUGUUUCUAGAGCGUCUCGUCUCCUCCAGACUCCUCCCUGAAAUAAAAGCUCGGA